rnacentral:rRNA from 1 species
UACGGGGGGAGCAAGCGUUGUUCGGAUUUACUGGGCGUAAAGGGCGCGUAGGCGGCCUCCGCAAGUCAGUUGUGAAAUCUCCGAGCUUAACUCGGAAAGGUCAACUGAUACUGCGGGGCUAGAGUGCGGAAGGGGCAACUGGAAUUCUUGGUGUAGCGGUGAAAUGCGUAGAUAUCAAGAGGAACACCUGCGGCGAAGGCGGCCUACUGGGCUCCACCUGACACUGAGGCGCGAAAGCGUGGGGAGCGAACCGG